rnacentral:rRNA from 1 species
AGGACGAACGCUUGCGACGUGCCUAAGAAAUGCAAGUCGAACGGAAUUACCUUCGGGUAGUUUAGUGGCGAACGGUCGCGUAACACGUAGGCAACCUGCCCUGAAGCGGGGGACAACAACUCGAAAGAGUUGCUAAUACCGCAUGUGUAUCGGAAUGGCAUCAUUCAGGAUACAAAGGACUUCGGUUCACUUCAGGAUGGGCCUGCGGCCUAUCAGCUAGUUGGUAAGGUAACGGCUUACCAAGGCUUCGACGGGUAGCUGGUCUGAGAGGACGAUCAGCCGGAUUGGGACUGAGAUACGGCCCAGACUCCUACGGGGGGCAGCAAUUAGGAAUCUUGCGCAAUGGGCGAAAGCCUGACGCAGCGACGUCGCGUGAAGGAUGAAAUCUUUCGGGAUGUAAACUUCUUUUACCAGGGAAGAAACAAAUGACGGUACCUGGUGAAUAAGCCCCGGCUAACUACGCGCCAGCAGCCGC